UGUAUAUAUUUAUAUAUAUAUAUAAAUAUAUAUACACACACACUCACACACAUACAUACAUAUGUAUGUGUGUGUGUGUGUAAAACAAGAAAUGGAAAAAUAUU
rnacentral:miRNA from 1 species